GCCCCGAUAGCUCAGUCGGAUAGAGCAGCGGUCUUCUAAACCGCAGGUCGUUGGUUCGAAUCCAACUCGGGGUG
rnacentral:tRNA from 1 species